rnacentral:tRNA from 1 species
GCAGUAGCUCAGUGAUAGAGUGCUUGCCUAACAUGCAUGAGUCUGGGUUCAACCCCAGCACUACA